CUAAGUUUGAUGGCGACCGGCGCACGGGUGAGUAACACGUAUCCAACCUGCCGAUGACUCGGGGAUAGCCUUUCGAAAGAAAGAUUAAUACCCGAUGGCAUAGUUCUUCCGCAUGGUGGAACUAUUAAAGAAUUUCGGUCAUCGAUGGGGAUGCGUUCCAUUAGGUUGUUGGCGGGGUAACGGCCCACCAAGCCCUCGAUGGAUAGGGGUUCUGAGAGGAAGGUCCCCCACAUUGGAACUGAGACACGGUCCAAACUCCUACGGGAGGCAGCAUG
rnacentral:rRNA from 1 species